GUGCUCGCUCUGGCAGUGCAUGCACUAAAAUCAGAACCAUACGGAGAGGGUUAGUGUGGCCCCUGCCACAAGGAUGACACGCAAAUUUGUGAAGCGUUCUAUAUUUUU
ensembl:snRNA U6 U6 spliceosomal RNA